UUGAAAACGCCUUUCACAAAGCCUUCAGCUCUGCCAAUCUUUUCAGCACCUUCUUUUGCGGAAAACGUCUUACAGAAGAAUCAGAUUCUAGAAAGGGCGUAAACGUUUGCGUGUCGUCGAGGCAUUCGUUUACUAUUGUUUACGAAGACUUCGGUAGGUUUUGCCAAAUCUCAGCAUGA